ACGACAGAAACAUUCACGUCUUCUUACUACCGUCAGGUUACCUACCUUUUCUUUCCGUGCGUAAUGGAGAAGAGUCAUUGGUCUCAAAAAUAUUGAAACUGUUUUAAUAUUAUUUAUCCUUAUCUGUAACUUUUAAAGUCUGCCGCAUGACUGAUACGCUGGUUUCGAGGUUGAGGGCAAGUGAAAGAGGAUCGCAAAAAAAAAUCAUCGCCAUCUCUACUACAGGCAUUUUUUAAAUCUCAAAUGAUUGAGUGCCAACAAGCAUUGAAAUGCCUUACACGCGGGUUUGAUGGAUAUUGCCAUGAAGACUGCCGAAGUUGGCCAUCGUACGGAAACCUAGAAAUGGCGUGAGUUCCACAUCAAACAUGUAUUAGAAUUUUAGUGGAGGAAUUUUUUGUUAAACAUGCUUGAUGUACACAAAAAUUUUCUGUUCAGAGCCUUAUGCAAUGGUUUUCAUUUCCAAUUUGUAUGUUCUUUCGCAAGCAUCUGCCAGAAGUUUUAUAUGAAUGCCAAACAGUGAAUC